rnacentral:tRNA from 1 species
AAGAAUUUAAGUUAAUAAAACUAUUGACCUUCAAAGUCAAACUUAGAGAAAAUUCUCUAAUUCUUA